rnacentral:rRNA from 1 species
UGAACGCUGGCGGUAGGCCUAACACAUGCAAGUCGAACGGCAGCACAGUAAGAGCUUGCUCUUACGGGUGGCGAGUGGCGGACGGGUGAGGAAUACAUCGGAAUCUACUUUUUCGUGGGGGAUAACGUAGGGAAACUUACGCUAAUACCGCAUACGACCUACGGGUGAAAGCAGGGGAUCUUCGGACCUUGCGCGAUUGAAUGAGCCGAUGUCGGAUUAGCUAGUUGGCGGGGUAAAGGCCCACCAAGGCGACGAUCCGUAGCUGGUCUGAGAGGAUGAUCAGCCACACUGGAACUGAGACACGGUCCAGACUCCUACGGGAGGCAGCAGUGGGGAAUAUUGGACAAUGGGCGCAAGCCUGAUCCAGCCAUACCGCGUGGGUGAAGAAGGCCUUCGGGUUGUAAAGCCCUUUUGUUGGGAAAGAAAAGCAGCAGGUUAAUACCCCGCUGUUCUGACGGUACCCAAAGAACAAGCACCGGCUAACUUCGUG